rnacentral:lncRNA from 1 species
GGGGCUGGCAAAGGACCCGUCAUCAGCCCUGGAUCUGACUGAAGCCAGGUUUGAUGCAGACCCAAGGUGGGAGAGCCCUGGCAUGCCUGCAGAAGGGCCCACAUCUGGUUGCUCACAAGAGCUGAACCUCACCACCAGCAGUAGCUUUGGAGAACCAGGAAGCUCAGAGUUCAAGGUGAAAGGGUCGAAGCGUCCUGGGCAAGACCCCUCUCAGAUUGGGGAUAGCAGAGGUGGGGUCUGCCUGGGAGGAGACUGCAGGGGUGAGAAGCCCACAGCCAGGUGGAAGAAGGGGCCAUCACUGAAGCACCUUUUACACUACAUAACAUGGGUUUUACAAAUUUAGGAAUCGGGCAAGGGCCCUAAUGGAAGUGAGGCCCACUGGGGUAGCCACUGGGGUCUCCAGGCUCCCCUGGGGGAAGUGGCCCUGGCACGAGGAUUCCCUCACAAACCCGGGAAAGGUGCUCUUCCUUCCUAGGAGCUGGCCCAGAGGGAAGACGGGGAGCUAGCAGGGCCCAUGCCCCAGGGGCCCCAUCAACCACCAUCCAGAAGCCUACAGGAGAAGAAGCUGGCUCAGGGAGCCCCAGGGCCCUCAGGCCUCCCCUCCCAGGGCCUGCCAGAACCCCCGGAUCCCCUGGAGGGGCUGGGCUGCAGCCUGGGCCAGGAGAGAGCAGAACUAAAGAAACUGCUAAGAAGUGAGAUUCCUCAGAGUCAGAGAGAGGGGGCCCCUCAGGAUCAGAGAGGGAAGGCCCUCCAGGGGGAGGACAAAGAAGUUCCCCCAAGUAAGAGAGAGAAGACAAACGAGGGUCAGAGUGGGGAGGCCCCUCAGGCUCUGAGGGAAGAGGUCUCGGAAGGUCAAAGGUGGGAGGCCUCCCAGGGUGAGAACAAAGAGGCACCUCGAAGUCAAAGCGGAAGUCGCCUUAAGUGCCGGAGAAAGGAGGUCCUCCCGGAGCAGAGCGAGGAUUCUCCUCAGGGCCCGGAAGUGAAGACGCUUCAGCCUUCCGAGGGCAGAGGCCGUAUCUCACAAGCCUGGGAGGUGGCUCGGGGAGAGGCACCUACACCGCCCCGGGAGGAAGGCGGCUCCCUGGGGAUUCCGGGGGGCUUCUGCAGGCCCCUGGGAGAACGGAUGCCGCAGCCUGGGGGAAGGGAGGGCCCGGACCCGCGGGGAAGGACCACGCAGCUGAGGCAGGUUAAGACCGGUGGCCCGAGAGGAGAGAGCGCAGCGGCCGUGAGAGAGCAGCGGCCCGCCCGGGAAGGGGCGCCGGCUCCCCUUACGCCCCCGGGGCCUCCGGCCCGGCCGCCGCUCCCACGCCCAGGAGCGGUGUCGCUGGCGGCCCUACGCACUGGUGGUUCCGAGCAGCGGGAGCGCCCCGCAGCUCUCCCAGGGCACCCGGGCCUGCUGAGCGAUCCGCACUCGCUUCGGGGCCCGGGAGGAAGCCCUGGCCCCGCGGAGCAGGAGCUGGGCGGCUCCAUGGGGCUCCCGGGCGCCCUCGGGGGGCGGAGGGAAGGUGCCGAGGCCCCCAGAGCCUCGAAGACCGCGUGGCCCGAGUCCCCGAGCAGGGACAGGCGGUCUGCGAGCGUGAGCGCGGCGCAGCAGGAGACGGCUCUGCAGCGGCUGCUGGAGCUGCACAGUGAGGCCAGGCGUCGGCGGCAACAGGACCGCGAGCAGCAGCGGCUCCGGGUCUUGGAACGCCUCCGCAUCGCCAGGAACCGCCACUGCCGCGUGCACCCCUUGAGACCCCCACCAAGCCCGGCUCAGCUCCCACGACAGGAGGACGCGGCCGGGCAACGGAGCGCCCUGCGGGAGCAGCUGAAGCAAAUGCAACGGGAGAGGACCGGGCGGCUGCGAGCCCUCGGGGCCAGGAACACCCAGAACUUCCAGCAACUUCUGUGGCCCCCUGGCUCUGAGGAGCCUGCGCCUGGAGAGCAUCGCGCACUCUUCCCAGCCCGCUCUGGUCACUGCUGA